UACGUAGGGUGCGAGCGUUGUCCGGAUUUAUUGGGCGUAAAGAGCUCGUAGGCGGUUUGUUGCGUCGGCCGUGAAAUCUCCACGCUUAACGUGGAGCGUGCGGUCGAUACGGGCAGACUUGAGUUCGGUAGGGGAGACUGGAAUUCCUGGUGUAGCGGUGAAAUGCGCAGAUAUCAGGAGGAACGACCGGUGGCGAAGGCGGGGUCUCUGGGCCCGUAACUGACGCUGAGGAGCGAAAGCAUGGGGAGCGAACAGG
rnacentral:rRNA from 1 species